rnacentral:lncRNA from 1 species
AGUGAGGAGGGCCAGGGAGGGCGGGAAGACGGUCCACUCUGCUGCAGGUCGUCGUGAGGCGUGGCCGCCGCCGCUCCUUCAAUAUUAUUUACCUGCUGGACGCCUGUCCCGCGCUGGUGGCUGCUUGAUGAUAAAUUGCUGAACGGGCCCAACACUUCUGGCAAGAGUGAAAGACGUUUAGGGGUUAGUUGAUUUGUCUUGUAAAAUUAGGAAAUGUCAGUCUUCCAGUCUGGAGCAUACAUGUUGGCCAUUGUGAAAGAAUGCAUGGUUGUCAUGACGAAGGAUGACUAGGGGCCAGCUAAAGGUACCAGAAUACGUUGCGGCAGUUGUGUUGGAACUGCACACCUUAACAAUGAUGGUGGCACUGAAGACUGUGGUGAAUGGUGACAUAAGCUGCCAUCCCCCUAAGAAAGCAACAUGAUGCAUCACUGACUGCACAUUAGAGCAAGUUUGUCAGCUGGGCUAGUGGUUACGUAGCACUCUGGUUUGGGAUGUGGCAAAGUGUCCAGAUUAAGGUGCAGAAAUUUGUUUGUAGUGCCGGGACACGACACAUGGACACUCAAGAUGGGCAGUCUUAAGCACUUGGCCUUCUCUACGUCCUUAUGCCAUGUUAUGCAGUGCCAUGCUACGUCCCUAGCAAACUGGUUUAUGCUUUGGCAAAAAUUCCUGUUGUCUGGAGCAUCGUCUUUGGAGAGAACUGGUACGGGCACAACUGCAUUAUAUAUGUUGUACAUGGAUUGAUCAAGAUUGUUACUAGGAUCAAAGCUUCUCAAAGAUUGCAGCAGCUCUAGGCCUGUACCAGGUGACUGGCAGCUGGCAUAAUGGAAAAAGGGUGUUGCAGUUUUUGGUGAUGGCAUCACUUCUGUGAAGGAAUGAGUUGCUAGGUUCUGCAAGUUCCCAACUGAAACUACUCUAGUUUAGGGCUCGAGAUAGGCAGCUGUUGUGGUGUUGAGGUGACUGUCUGAAGUGUCUGGAGUCAAGCUUUGAGUUUCUUGCUGCCAGCUCAACUAAAUUCCUAAUUGGUAAACUGUUCCAGUGCGACAAGUUAUCAUGCAGCCUCUUUCAAAGUGAUAGUGUCAAUGUUCAACAAGUGAUAAAAUACAUUACUGCAAUAAAAGUUGUACGCA